GAGCUUGGAGUUUUUGGGACCACUGCCCAAAGUGAACCCGCCGAGACUCUCCGGUUUAUCAAAUGUGACUUCAUCAUAAGCUAAGAAGCCUCAAUACUGGGAUGCGACGCCGGAGAGAUAGCUCAUUGGUUGAGAGCCCUUGCUGCCAAUCCCGAUGACUCAAUAAAAAGCAACAGGAAUUGAUGUAAAGAGAAAAAGAAAUAUGAAGAGUCACACCCCACAAUUUCAUCUUGUAAAUGAGCUCAGGAAAUGAGAAUGGAGGGAAAGCCCCUGGGGCUGGCGGCCUGUGCUCCUGUCACUGCAGACAUCUGGGUUUUAAUGACAUGAUAUGGUAAGAAU